rnacentral:rRNA from 1 species
UACGUAGGGUGCAAGCGUUAUCCGGAUUUACUGGUUUAAAGGGUGUGUAGGCGGGCUAUUAAGUCAGUGGUGAAAUCUCCGGGCUCAACCCGGAAACUGCCAUUGAUACUAUUAGUCUUGAAUUUUGUUGAGGUAGGCGGAAUAAGUCAUGUAGCGGUGAAAUGCAUAGAUAUGACUUAGAACACCAAUUGCGAAGGCAGCUUACUAAGCAAACAUUGACGCUGAGGCACGAAAGCGUGGGGAUCAAACAGG